AGAGCUCUUUGUCUGGCGCCUCGUCGCCCUGCCCGUGCGGCAGAGCUGCGCCAGCAGGUGUGGAGGCUGGCGGCAGCGACAUGCAUCCUUCCCUGCAGGCUGGCUGGGCGCGGCGUGCCCCUGGAGCGCUGUCACAGCUGUGCCCCGUUGCUCUCGCAGCUGCUCCGGGGGGCUGCCGGUGCCCGCCGGGCACCUCCCCAGCUGAGGAGGAACCCCGGCCCGCUGCAGGGCGCUGGGCCCAGGGAGAGCUGGCGCUGCAGGAAGGGGAGGGGAGCCUCUGUUUCCUCCUGCCGCAGCUGCAGAGCGCGCUAGGCUGCACUUGUGUUUCUUUUCCUCCCGCCACCGGGCUCUUGCGGGAGCCGAGCUCGACCGGCCAGAGGAAACGCAGCGCCGCGGCAGACCUUCCAAACCUUCGGGAGGAAUAAAAAAGCGAUGCCGGUUUACAAAAGAAACGGGGCUUUGGGCUAUUGGUGUAUCAGGAGCACAUUCGUGGAGUUGUGCGCAAACUACCACUUCCUUAAGUCUGCUAGCCCUUCGUGGCCAUUCCAUUGCUUUUGAGAUAAGUGUUUUCAUGUAUAGAAAGACAGAAUAAUAAUUGCCAAGCUGCAGCUGUUCCUGUGCUUCAGGAGCAUAAACUCCCUUUAAAGGUCAAACAAUUUACAUGAGGAUACCAGCACCAGAGAAGAUUUUACAAGAAGAUCUUGCUCAGACUUGGAGGGGAGGCAAGAUGUUGGCAUAGCUGUUGAUCUAAAAACCUGCUAUGCCAACGUAUUGCCAUCUUUCUCGUCUAUUUGUAACAACAGCUAGCU